CACGUAGUUAGCCGUGACUGCCUCGCCGGGUACCAUCACUCAGAAAGCUUUCCACUCUUUCUGCCUUUUGUCCCCGGCAACAGAGCUUUACGAUCCGAAGACCUUCCUCGCUCACGCGGCAUUGCUCGUUCAGGGUUCCCCCCAUUGACGAAAAUUCCCUACUGCUGCCUCCCGCAGGAGUCUGGGCCGUGUCUCAGUCCCAGUGUGGCCGUCCGCCCUCUCAGGCCGGCUAUGCAUCGUCGCCUUGGUGAGCCGUUACCUCUCCAACCAGCUAAUGCACCGCAGGUCCAUCUGCAUGCGGGACUCUUGUCCCCUUUUACAAAAAGAGAUGCCUCCUCUUUGCUCAUCCGGUAUCAGCUUCCGUUCCAGAAGUUCUCCGCUCAUGCAGGCAGGUUCCCUAGUGUUACUCACCCGUUCGCCCACUUCAUAUCCGAAGAUACUCCGUUCGACCUUUGCCUAUGUUAUUAGGGCCUAGUCGCCCGCCAGGUCCGUUCAU
rnacentral:rRNA from 1 species